AACGAACGCUGGCGGCAGGCUUAACACAUGCAAGUCGAGCGCGCGCCUUCGGGCGUGAGCGGCGGACGGGUGAGUAACGCGUGGGAACGUGCCCUUUGGUUCGGAAUAGCCCUGGGAAACUGGGAGUAAUGCCGAAUAAGCUCUACGGAGGAAAGAUUUAUCGCCAAAGGAUCGGCCCGCGUUGGAUUAGGUAGUUGGUGGGGUAAUGGCCUACCAAGCCGACGAUCCAUAGCUGGUUUGAGAGGGUGAUCAGCCACACUGGGACUGAGACACGGCCCAGACUCCUACGGGAGGCAGCAGUGGGGAAUCUUGGACAAUGGGGGCAACCCUGAUCCAGCCAUGCCGCGUGAUCGAUGAAGGCCUUAGGGUUGUAAAGAUCUUUCAGCUGGGAAGAUAAUGACGGUACCAGCAGAAGAAGCCCCGGCUAACUCCGUGCCAGCCGCCGCCGUAA
rnacentral:rRNA from 1 species